rnacentral:tRNA from 1 species
GAGGCUUAGCUCAGUUGGGAGAGCAUCUGCCUUACAAGCAGAGGGUCGAAGGUUCGAGUCCUUUAGUCUCC